rnacentral:lncRNA from 1 species
UCCUCCACUUCUGCACAAACACAUCUCCAGGAGCCAUCACAUAGCGCGUGGAGUAAAGGAAAUGCAUGGAAAAGAGAGGAAUUAAGAGUCCAAAGUGAAAUAGACUCUUCCAUUUCAUCGUCCAAAAUAAUAUGGCAUCCACAUGAAUUAUGGCAUAGAGUUCCUUCUCAGAGAAGGACUCAUUCUCUUCUUCUACACCC